CAUUCGUGUUCGUAUAUCAUGUUUGAGUUGACGUUUAAUUUAGUACCUACUACCUAUGUCGAUUUAAUUUCGUUUUUACUAAAGAAAAAAUGUUCAGUGUUUUUAAUAUUAAAAAAAAAAAUCUUGUGAUCGACUAAAUGUGCCGAAACAUACGCCUUCGACUUCAAGUACAAUUGCAGAUGAAAACUAUGAAGAAAAAGAAGAAAAUACAACGGAUAAUAAUAUAAUCUGUGGUGUGCAUAAUAUAGAUGAUGAACUUGAUUUGGGAAAUUUAAGUACAGGACCUCGUCAACCAUUAAAGGAGUAUCCUAAUAAAAAAAAUGGCAAUCAAAAUCGAGGAUUUACAUCUUAUUAUUUUAGUGAAUUCAAUUGGCUUGAAUACAGUAUAAAAAAAAGGUAGUGUUUUGUUUCCCAUGCCGUAUUUUUGCAACUGCUCGUCAAACGGAAGAUACAUUUACUGUAACAGGAUUUAAUAACUCGAAGAAACUUUGUGCAUCAAAAGAUUCUAAGACAAAAAAAUCAAAACUGAGUUUGCACGCUUCAACGAUUAAACCACAUUAAUUGUAUGUCAAGAUGGUUAGAAUAUAAACGUUCUUUAAACCAAGGUAGUAUCAUCUCCAAAUUAUCAACAGCCAACAAGGAGCACAUUGACAAAAACCGGCAGUAUAUUAAAUGUUUAAUUGACAUAGUUAUAUUUCUUGGACGGUAAGGACUUCCAUUUAGGGGUCAUCGAGAAUGGUUACAAACUUGUAUGAAUCAAGAUAGAUUUAGUAAUUUAAGUAUUUUGAAUAUAGAAAAUGACAUUAGUAUCAAUAAUGAAGUCAUUUAAAUAUUUUUGAAAAAACUGAAAGACGUAUACAAUUAAUU